rnacentral:rRNA from 1 species
UACGUAGGUGGCAAGCGUUGUUCGGAAUCACUGGGCGUAAAGCGCGCGCAGGCGGCGAUCUACGUCUGGGGUGAAAGCCCGGAGCUCAACUCCGGGACUGCCUUGGAUACGGGAUCGCUUGAGGAUUGGAGAGGCAAGGGGAAUUCCACGUGUAGCGGUGAAAUGCGUAGAUAUGUGGAGGAACACCUGUGGCGAAGGCGCCUUGCUGGCCAGUUACUGACGCUGAGGCGCGAAAGCGUGGGGAGCAAACAGG